UAGUCAUAUGCUUGUCUCAAAGAUUAAGCCAUGCAUGUCUAAGCACAAGCCGAUUAAUGGUGAAGCCGCGAAUGGCUCAUUACAACAGCCAUAGUUUCUUAGAUCUUACUUUUCUACUUGGAUAACUGUGGUAAUUCUAGAGCUAAUACACGCAAACAAGCUCAGACCUUACGGAAUGAGCGCAUUUAUUAGAACAAAAACCAAUCGGGCUUCGGUCCGUCAUUUGGUGAAUCUGAAUAACUUUGCUGAUCGCACGGUCUUCGUACCGGCGACAUAUCUUUCAAAUGUCUGCCUUAUCAACUUUCGAUGGUAGUUUAUGCGCCUACCAUGGUUGUAACGGGUAACGGAGACUAAGGGUUCGACUCCGGAGAGGGAGCCUGAGAAACGGCUACCACAUCCAAGGAAGGCAGCAGGCACGCAAAUUACCCACUCCCGGCACGGGGAGGUAGUGACGAAAAAUAACGAGACGGCUCGCUAUGCGGUCCGUCAUCGGAAUGGGUACAAUUUAAAUCCUUUAACGAGGAUCUAUU
rnacentral:rRNA from 1 species